AUGGAUUUACACCCACAGGCGAUAUGCUGGAAUGUUCGAGGCUUGAACAAUCCAGUGAAACGCAAGGCGGUGCGGGAAUUCGUGAGUAAUCUUGAGGUCAACUUAGCUUGCUUGCAAGAAACUAAGUUGGAUGUAAUAGACAACUAUUUAGUUACGCAAUGUUUGGGACCACCGUUUGAUGGUUUUGCUUAUUUGCCGGCUAUAGAGACUAGAGGGGUGUGCUUCUAG
rnacentral:rRNA from 1 species